UACGGAGGGUGCGAGUGUUAUUCGGAAUCACUGGGCGUAAAGAGCACGUAGGCGGAUAGGUAAGUCAGAUGUGAAAUCCCGGAGCUCAACUUCGGAACUGCAUUUGAUACUGCUUGUCUUGAGUGUGGUAGAGGGGGGUGGAAUUCCCGGUGUAGAGGUGAAAUUCGUAGAUAUCGGGAGGAACACCAGAGGCGAAGGCGACCCCCUGGGCCAUUACUGACGCUGAGGUGCGAAAGCGUGGGGAGCAAACAGG
rnacentral:rRNA from 1 species